rnacentral:lncRNA from 1 species
AACAUCACUACUUAUUAUUUGAUCAAUGCCUAGUCUGUCAUACCAAUUCCCACAAAUAACACUAAUCACCUCAUGCUAUGUGGCAAGAAAAAUUUACAUAUGACUGAGUAGGUCGUGCCUUAGCAUUACUUUUAGUUAAAUAAGCAGGCUGAUUUCUAAUUAGGUGGGCACCUCUUAAGGGUCAACUAGCCCUAGUGUUAAAUUAGUUGUUUCAUUACUUUCUUUUCUUUUCCAUUUCCCCCAAUUAACUGGU